UCAUGUAAUAUUUCGGAGUGAUUUGGGCAACCAAGUCUGUCAAAUGAAUAAUGCCAUUCAUUUAAAUAAUGGAAGCAGUUUUAAAUGUUUCACUAAAAUUCCACUUCAGAAUUGCCAUGCCCUUUUUCAAGUUGGGAUGUGUGUAUGUGUACUUUCUUCCCCCCUUGUAAUUAAACAAGUUGUUCUCCCCCAUUUAUUUCUUACUAAGUACUAAAUUGCAUAAUGAAUUGGGAAUUUCCUCCUUCUCUAAUUCUGUGCAUUGGCAUUUUAGCAUAUUUUGAUGUGUAGGUGGUAGAGGACAGUGAAAAGUUCACAGCUGGAGUGCAAACGCUGAGUUUUCAUGAUUCAUGAACAACUGGUAUCUGACCACAAGUUUGUCUUUUUAUAUUUAGAAUCAGCCAUGUCAAUAUCUGCAUGGCACAGAAUCACCUGGGAGCUUCUUAAACGUGUAGAAUUUAGCACCCCAUCUCUAAAAAAUAUGAUUCAGUAUAUAGAAGGUUGGACACCGAGGAACAAUAAGAGAUUAUCCAGACUUUAGCCCAUCAGUGGAUGCUGAAGCUAUUCAGAAAGCAAUCAGAGGAAUUGCAUUUCUCUAGAAUAUGACAAGAACUGGAAUUUCCACAUUGACGGGGAUACUUCUCUUCAAAUUAACUGGAAAUUUUGCCAUACUAUUCUCUGAAAUGAAUGUAGAAAUUAGCAUUCCUUUCAGCAAUGUACAAGACUUCUUUUUGCUCCAUGUUCUCACCAAUACUUGCUACAGUAAGACUAUUCCAUUUUUCUAAUUAAGUGGGUCUAAAUGGUAUCUUAUUCUGCAUGUGUGUUUGUUUCCUCUCUCUACCCUGAUGACUGAUGCAGUUAAGCAUCCUCACUUGUGCAUCUGCUUCCACUUUCAUACAUCAAUAAAAUAUAAAAUAUAUUUUAUCUAUUUUUUUCAGUUGGUUUGUCUUCUUUAGAUUGGCAAGAAUUUUUUAUAAUUCCUCAAUACAAACUUUUAAAAAAAUAUUACAAACCAUGAAAAUAUUUCCUAUAAGUUCAUGGUUUUCUUUUAACAUUGGUGACAUGGUUUGGUCCUGUGUCCCCACCCAAAUCUCAUCUUGUAGCUCCCAUAAUUCCCACAUAUUGUGGGAGGGACCUGGUGGGAGAUGAUUGAAUCAUGGGGACAGGUCUUUUCCGUACUGUUCACAUGAUAGUGAAUAAGUGUUACAAGAUCUGAUGGCUUUAUAAGGUGGAGUUUCUCUGCAUAAGCUCUCUCCUUGCCUGCCGCCAUCCACAUAAGAUGUGACUUGCUCCUCCUUCCCUUCCACCAUGAUUGUGAGGCUUCCCCAGACACAUGGAACUGUGAGUUCUCCAUUAAACCUCUUUCCUUCAUAAAU